rnacentral:lncRNA from 1 species
GACAGUUUCUAUUGUUCCAAUCCUCGCCAGCAUUUGGUGUUUUCAGCAUUCUGGAUUUUGGCCAUUUAAGUAGGAAAAUUAGCCCUGAGCGAACAUCUGCUGCCAAUUCUCCUCUUUUUGCUGAGGAAGACUGGGCCUGAGCUAACAUCCGUCCCUGUCUUCCUCUACUUUAUAUAUGGGACGCCCUCCACAGCAUGGCUUGACAAGCUGUGUGUCGGUCUGCACCCAGAUCUGAACCAGGGAACCCUGGGCUACCAAAGUGGAAUGUGUGAACUUAACCACUGCACCACUGGGCUGGCCCCCAAAAUAACUAUUUUUUAGACAAAAAAAGUUUACUAUUCACCCUUUGGCUUUUAUUUAUCUUCAUUUUAUCAUGGAAAAAAGGACAUUUUUAUAUGAUUAAAAUCUCAUUUAUGGGAUCAUGGGAGUUUUCACAUCUUUUCAGUUUUUUUAUUUGAAGGUGUAAUGCUGUCCUUUUAGAUUUGUAGUCAUGAAGUAACCAAUACACAUUUAAGGAAAAAAUUAGUUUUAGUAGUUUUUACACUAUUUUUAGUAUAAUUAUUAGUCAGUUAACCAAAAUUUGCUGAACUAAAUUCCAAGUGAAAGCAAUUUAUAAAUUAUAGCUGUAGGUUUAAUCUAAGGAACAGUAUUCAUGUUUAUAAAUUUUAUAUUUGUAUAUUUGUUUAAAGAUGUUUCUAUAUAUUUAAAGACACCUCUUAAACAGUAAGGCACACUUUAUUCAAGAAGUCUACUACAGUGGGGUUUGUAGUAGGGGAGAGAGAUUAGGCUCAACUCCAAACACUACAAGGAAAAGUGGGAGCUUAUGGCAAAUGCUAAAAGAAUCUGCUAAUAUACUAACUAUUGUUAGAUGUUAAUUUCUAGAUGCCUAUAUGUCCCAUUUGACAUUUGAGAAAGAAAUCUCUAUAAGUAAAUGUCAACUACUCUAAUUUUAUGUGCUAACUCAUAGCAGAGGAACUUAAAGCAUUAAUAUUUGUGAGAUGUCUUGGAAAUGAUUAUUGGAUUUAUGUGUAAAAAUGCAAAAAACAAGCAAAGGAAAACU